rnacentral:rRNA from 1 species
AUGGCGGAAGGGUUAGUAAUACAUAGAUAAUCUGUCCUCAACUUGGGAAUAACGGUUGGAAACGACCGCUAAUACCGAAUGUGGUAUGUUUAGGCAUCUAAAACAUAUUAAAGAAGGGGAUCUUCGGACCUUUCGGUUGAGGGAGAGUCUAUGGGAUAUCAGCUUGUUGGUGGGGUAAUGGCCUACCAAGGCUUUGACGUCUAGGCGGAUUGAGAGAUUGACCGCCAACACUGGGACUGC